GACGAACGCUGGCGGCGUGCUUAACACAUGCAAGUCGAACGGAAAGGCCCUGCUUUUGUGGGGUGCUCGAGUGGCGAACGGGUGAGUAACACGUGAGUAACCUGCCCUUGACUUUGGUAUAACUUCAGGAAACUGGGGCUAAUACCGGAUAGGAGCUCCUGCUGCAUGGUGGGGGUUGGAAAGUUUCGGCGGUUGGGGAUGGACUCGCGGCUUAUCAGCUUGUUGGUGGGGUAGUGGCUUACCAAGGCUUUGAUGGGUAGCCGGCCUGAGAGGGUGACCGGCCACAUUGGGACUGAGAUACGGCCCAGACUCCUACGGGAGGCAGCAGUGGGGAAUAUUGCACAAUGGGCGGAAGCCUGAUGCAGCAACGCCGCGUGCGGGAUGACGGCCUUCGGGUUGUAAACCGCUUUCGCCUGUGACGAAGCGUGAGUGACGGUAAUGGGUAAAGAAGCACCGGCUAACUACGUG
rnacentral:rRNA from 1 species